rnacentral:rRNA from 1 species
AUACGGAGGAUGCGAGCGUUAUCCGGAUUUAUUGGGUUUAAAGGGAGCGUAGGCGGGAGCUUAAGUCAGCGGUUAAAUGGUGCGGCUCAACCGUGCCCUGCCGUUGAAACUGGGUUUCUUUAGAGUGCAAGGGGCGGAUGGAAUUCAUGGUGUUGCGGUGAAAUGCUUAGAUAUCAUGAAGAACUCCGAUUGCGAAGGCAGUCCGCUGGGGCACGUCUGACGCUGAUGCUCGAAGGUGCGGGAAUCAAACAGGAUUAGAUACCCUGGUAGUCCGCACGGUAAACGAUGAUUACCCGCUGUCGGCGGUAGACAGUCGGCGGCCAAGCGAAAGCGAUAAGUAAUCCACCUGGGGAGUACGCCGGCAACGGUGAAACUCAAAGGAAUUGACGGGG